CGCGCAGGCGGUUUGUUUAGUCAGAUGUGAAAGCCCACGGCUUAACCGUGGAAGUGCAUUUGAAACUGGCAGACUUGAGUAUCAGAGGGGAAGGUGGAAUUCCCGGUGUAGAGGUGAAAUUCGUAGAUAUCGGGAGGAAUACCGGUGGCGAAGGCGACUUUCUGGCUGAAUACUGACGCUGAGGCGCGAAAGCGUGGGGAGCAAACA
rnacentral:rRNA from 1 species